rnacentral:rRNA from 1 species
UACGUAGGGUGCAAGCGUUAAUCGGAAUUACUGGGCGUAAAGCGUGCGCAGGCGGUUGUGCAAGACCGAUGUGAAAUCCCCGGGCUUAACCUGGGAAUGGCAUUGGUGACUGUACGGCUAGAGUGUGUCAGAGGGGGGUAGAAUUCCACGGUGUAGCAGUGAAAUGCGUAGAGAUGUGGAGGAAUACCGAUGGCGAAGGCAGCCCCCUGGGAUAACACUGACGCUCAUGCACGGAAAGCGUGGGGAGCAAACAGGA